AAAAAAAAAAAGGAAUACAUCAGAAUCUACUUUUUCGUGUUGUAUAACGUAGGGAAACUUACGCUAAUACCGCAUACGCCCUACGGUUGAAAUCAUGGGAUCUUCGGACCUUGCGCGAUUGAAUGAGCCGAUGUCGGAUUAGCUAGUUGGCGGGGUAAAGUCCCACCAAGGCGACGAUCCGUAGCUGGUAUGAGAGGAGGAUCAGCCAAACUGGAACUGAGACACGGUACAGACUACGAAGGGAGGCAGUAGUGGGGAAUAGUGGAAAAUGGGAGGAAGUAUGAGACAGAAAUACCGCGUGUGUGAAGAAGGUCUUUUUUUUUU
rnacentral:rRNA from 1 species